UUGAGACUGGAAGACAUUAACUCCAAUUAUUCCUUGCCCUCUGAAUGCUGAAAUUGCCCUUACCUCAACCUUGUUUUUGGCUGGGACCUGUUGAAAUGCUGCAAGCCUCCAGCUUGCUAAUCAGGUUUACAGAAAAAAAGAGAUUUUAAGCCUCUACUAAUUAAAGAUAUAAUGCUAACCAUCUAUGACCAGUUAACCAUCUAUGACCAGUUAGCUCAUUUAAUUAGAGCCCAUUGAGAAUAAGAGUGAACUAAUCGAACCUAACAUUUACUUUCUAUUACAGAAGAAUUUAUUUGAAUCUCUCUUUUCCUUGGCUAAGAAGAAUGAAGAGGCAGGAGACUUGGGGGACCCCUUAACUGGGGAUAAUUACUGGGACAAAUCAGCCAGCACAAAGAGGAGGCACUAAACAAUCAGUCCUGGUCUCUGUUAUCAGAGACUUUUGAUGCUACCAUUGGAGUCAGACAAGCAGACAAACAUCAACAAAAUGAUUAUAAACUAUGACACACUAUGAUGGGAAAGAAGGAGGCUGACAGAGAGGACAUUGGCAGGAAGGAGCCCUACUGUAGAUGUGGUGGUCAGAGAAGGGCCUUUGUGAGAAGCUGACACAUAAUCUCACAGUUGAAGUUGUGAGAAGGAGCUGGUCCUCCAGAGAGAAGUAGGAAGAGCGCUCCAGCAGAAUCUCUGGACAAGUGCAGCUACGACUGCUGCUGGGACCGCGAUACUGUGAUGAGACUUUGCAUAUUUAAAAGGAUGUCGAGAGAGGAGGAGGAAUGAUAAAUGAACUCAGGAAGAUGUGAUGUCUUCUGUGAUGACACUAAUAGAUGGAAUGCAGAAUUCAGCUCCAAUACUUAGGGUUGGAAACCAAACAUAAACAAGCAAGCAAGGAAAAUGAAAAGGAAUGUGUGUGUGUGUGUGUGUGUGUGUGUGUGUGUGUGUGUGUAGGUGUGAGAGUAUAUGAAAUACAUGAAAAGAUAAAAAGUUAGAUGCUGCUAAAGGGACAGACAUGUAGGAAUUUUACAUUAGGGUUGUUCUGAUUUUCAUUUUCUUGCCUUUUAAAAUUUAAUGAUAAACAAGUCUCCAGAGAUUUUUACAGCCUGGGAGACCACUGGUAAGACAACAAUAUAGGUGGUCCUCCAGCAGGAUCUAAAUCAGAGCCUUCAUAGUGGACUGUCGGGCCAGGUGCAGCUGUAGACAAUGCAUCUUCAGGAGUGGGGUGAAGAAAUUUAAUGGACUAGUAAUGCAACAGGAGGUAGAAGAAAAGUGUUCUCUCACUAAAGCAUGGUGGGUGUUUUCAAAAUGUUUAAAAAACAUUUUUAGGCCGGGCACAGUGGCUCACACCUGUAAUCUCAGAGCUUGGGGUGGCUGAGGACCCAAAAGGAGGAUCCCUUGAUGCCAGGAGUUGUAGACCAGCCUGGUCUAACAUAGCAAUACCCUGUCUCUAAAAAAAAAAAAAAAAAAAAAAAUUAAUUAGCCAGGCAGGUGACAAGUGCCUGUAGUCCCAGUUACUCAGGAGGAUAAGGCAGGAGGAUCGCUUGAACCCAAGAAUUUGAGGUUGUGGUAAGCUGUGAUCGUGCCAUUGCACUCCAGCCUGGGUGACAGAGUAAGACCUCAAUUCUUUUUUUUUUUUUUUUUUUUUUUUUG
rnacentral:lncRNA from 10 species